CUAUCACCGGUCUCAUUCUGGCGCAUUCACUCUGGUAAACACAGCUGAAAGUCCCGUUGGUGUGUUUGGAUACCGCUAUAGAAGACCAGCCAAAUAUUUACAGUCCGUUACAACAGGAUGUUUCUGAACGCCCAACUUGCCCUAACAGGAAGCAAAGUAGAGGAUGUCAAGCCAAAGCAGUUCUCCACUGAAUACACAUCAAAUUCAUCUCCUCAAGUUCAUCUGGAGAUCCAGGGCCGCAGCUGUGGCCACAUCGUGGAUUAUGAUGGGGGAUCGCGAAUCAGA